UUUGGGUCAAGCGUUCUGUUUUUACCAAGUCAAAUCUAAGAUAUGUAUGAGAUCUCCAACAAGAGAUGCCAAGCCAAGAGCUGGAGAUGCAAAUUUGAGAGUCAUUAGCCUAAAGAUGGUUGCUUUAAGGAUAUGUUUUGGGAGCUACUACACACCAGGCACUGGGUUUACAGUGAAGAACAGAAUACACACGAUCCCUGUCCUCAAAGAGCUUCAGAGCUGGCACAAGAAAGGGAUGUUACAAGACUUCCUUGGUGGUCCAGUGGGUAAGACUCCACGCUCCCAAUGCAGGUGGCCCAGGUUCGAUCCCUGGUCAAGGAACUAGAUCCCACAUGCCUCAACUAAGAAUCCUGCAUGCUGCAAUGAAGAUUGAAGAUCACACAUGCUGCAACUAAGACCUGG